rnacentral:RNase_P_RNA from 2 species
CCAGAGGGUCGGGCGGCCGCGGGUACUUUCGAGUACGCGAGGAAAGUCCGGGCUCCGCGAAACGACGGUGCCGGGUAACGCCCGGCGGGGGUGACCCCAGGGAAAGUGCCACAGAGAGCAGACCGCCGAUGUCCUCCCCGAUGCAAAUCGGACGGGGAACAGGCAAGGGUGAAAGGGUGCGGCAAGAGCGCACCGCGCGCCUGGUAACAGGGGCGGCAUGGCAAACCCCACCGGGAGCAAGAUCGAAUAGGGGCGGCACAUGGGCUUCGUUUCAGCUCGUCGCCCGGGUUGAUUGCUUGAGGCGGCGCGCAAGCGUCGUCCUAGAGGAAUGGUCGCCUAACCUUGCCAUAUGCGGCGGGGUGGACAGAACCCGGCUUACAGACCCUCUGGCGCA